GGGUAGGGGAGACCGGGGCUUGUUGUCACAUGGGUAAGUUGUCACAUUGCAAUUAUCUUUGCCACCGGAGGGCGCAACUAAAAAGUGGAAUACUAGUUUUAUUCCUUUACAUGGUCAGGGGUCGUGUCCUGUCUGAGAAGAGAGGAGCUCAUUAACCAUUUUGCACAACCCAAAGUGAAAAAAAAUUAACUUUAUAUAUUUUAAAAUAAGCCUCUUCCAGAUAAAAGUCCUAACAGUGUUACAUGUGGACUUGUUAGGGGAAAGAUUAAGGCAUUCUGUCAUACCUCAGUCAUUGUUCUGUUUUAAGCUAACUUUAGGCUAGAGCUAGAAUUAGCAAACAUGGUAGUUUGGGGGAACAUGUCUCAGUCAUUUUGGGGUUAGUUGUCACAUGUUUAAAAGGAAUUAAGAUUAACAUAGAGAGUCUGUUUAUCAGCAGUUGUCAUAUUGAAAUCUUGAGUGGAAGACAUGGUCACGAGUUACAAAAGAAAAACUGAACAUGACAGUGCAGUGUCUGACGUGAUGCUGAGGACAGUCAGGCAGGUGACCCUCGCUAAUAAAUCAAUCUGGAGGAAAAUUAAGGACUUAAAUAUCAACUACUAUACCUUGACUCCGAAAUUCAGAGUCAGACAGCUCUCCAAACUCCAGAGCAUGUUUCAUAAUAUCUUAUGUUAAUGUUUGUUUAAUGGUGUGAAAAGUGUGACAACAAGCCCCGGUCUCCCCUACUCUGAACUAAAGCAGUUACAGCACACUCACCUGUUUGUCAACCUAUCUGUGCCCUGAUUAUGCAAAUCUGAGUUAAUUUUAUCUUUAAAGGAUAGUGUCUUGCAUAGUGUGCGUAAAUGAACACAUGAGUUUCAUCCAACCAGACAGAACUUGCUGUAAAAUGAGCACAUCUACAGUGAUUCACAGCCCACCUAAAUAUCAAACUCUUGAGCAGCUCCAUGUCCUACUUUGUCCACAAGCUGGUAGCUAAUUGUGUCCGUCUCUUGCUGGGUAGAGUGGAAAAUAAAAUAGACAGUUGGUUUGAGAGCUUUUACCCUGAAAAAAAGAAAAAGCUGUUGCCUAUUGUUGUAAAAAAAAAUAGAGAGAAAGAGAUGAAACUUGAAAAGGAAAAUGUUGAAUUGGACUUUUUCACAAUGACCUGAAACUCUGUAAAGUCCUGUUAGGCUCAGGUAAGCUGCAUUCAGGUUAUUAUUUUCAACCAUUAGCAUCAGCUCUCACAUCUCUUCUUGCUUCAUAUCAUACAUUUGCACUGUCUGCACACAUUUUCCUACAAUAGCUCUCUCCACAUUGAAGUAAAGGGUUGUGAGGCUCCUCUGCCAACAGUAUCAUUACAGUCUUUACAUGUAUCGCCUCACUUUUUUUGGACCUCCGCAGCACCUGUUCAUUUUUUCUGUUUCUAACAUCAAUCAUCAACCCCCUCCACCCUCUCUUCCUUUUAUUUCUUUUAUGUCUCCAUGCUGUCCAAAUCCCACCUACCCAGGCUGCCUGUCGGCCUGUCAGAACCCACCAUAUGUGUAUUUAUACCAGUGCCACUAUGCUUUUCCCCCACAGCACAUUUGCAUGAGUUUUUAAUUGUUUAUUGUAGGAUGUAGGCGUCACGUGCUGGCGGGACUCGGCCGGUGAUACGUGUGAAUAGAGUGUUUAGCGAGCCACUGUCCCGCCCCUAGACUCUCGUCUGCCAACAACCAUCUUUAUUGAUUCCAAACAGUCUGACCGGGAGGCGCAGAUGCACUGGGAGGAGGGAGUGGGACAAAGGAAGGAGAGGGGCACUCAGGAAAAAAUAAACUACAAAGAACAGCACGAGGAAAUUAGGGAAAUGCUCCCUUUUUUGUCAUAAAGCUUCAUCUGUCACAUAAGGGAUUGUCUUUUCCUCCUCUGAGCCCUUUGAUUCCCUCCCUGUCUGGGCCUUCGAUUCGUCUUCUCCGCCCUCCUCCUCCUCCGCUUAAAUUUCUCGCUGUUUUACUCCACAGGAUGGUGGAAAAAAUAAACAGAUGGAGGAGGGUGGGAUAAAGAGACAGCAGAGGAAGGAUGUAGGAGUUCAAACUGAGAGAGGGGGAGGAGAAUAGGUGGGGAUGAGAGGAUGCAGAGCCGGCGGGAGGAUGGAGGGAUGGUGGUAAAAGAGAGAUGAAGAGCCUGAUGAACUCAUCUAAAGGCGCUCUGGGUUUUUUUUAAUAAGCAGCAGACUGUGAAGCUACUCGGACCAGUCACUCUGAGUAAUGAGAGAGAGGGAGGGAGAGAGACACACAAGAUGAGAGCAUGAAAAGACAACGAGACUCAUUAUCCUCCAACCAAUUUUCAUCACUGUCCCGUCAGUAAUCUCUCUCUCUUUUUCUUACUCAAACAGUCCACAGCUCUGUUUGAGUUGACAGAUGAAGACCAAUUACGCUAACUGUUUCGUUAACUUGAAGGGUGAACCCCCACCAUCUUCCAGAGCGUACACUGAUAAUCCUGUUGGCCCUGGAAAUUACUCGCCCAACACACCUGAGGAUGAGUGUGUGUGUGUGUGUGUGUGUGUGUGUGUGUGUGUGUGUGCAGCCAUAAUUCCUCAAGUAACUCAACUUUUUGUAUGGGAAGAGGCAGUAAAAGAGAGAGAGAGAGAGAGAGUGUGUGUGUGCUGUGAAAAAUGUGCGCUGCUAGUUAGGUUGACAGUAUUUGCUGGCCGUGAACUCUCCGGUGUUUGAUGAAGAAUUAUUUCAGGCUGAUGACUGCUGUUGCUGACUUGGUUCCUUACAGUCUAAUAGCUUUUUGCCUUGUCAACAUUUUCUCAGCACUUAAACAUAUUUGUUUCUGUUCUGCUUGAGUUUUUCCAGCAUAUAGACACAGGGUACACUCUAAAUUGCUAGUUUUUCUUAGCUUUUGUUCUAACCCGAGUGGCUUUUAUUUGCUGUGGACUUCUCUACAGACGCUCUCUUCCUGCUGUGGCUGAAUAGUUUUGUAUAUAGAACGAGUAAAGGCGUCACUUUUGUAAUUUUACUUGAAAUCAUUUUCCUUGAAGCAUCAGCAGCUCACAAUGAUGCUUUUAUCCUGCUGCGCCUCAGCUGUGUGUUGGGUUGUUGCAAACCUUGGUAGUUCAGUCAACAGCUGUGUGAAAGGCUCACUCAGCUAUGCAUGCUUUUUUCUAAGGCACUGCUCAAGUUGCCAGAAAGCCUUAUUCCAUUCACCCUGAUCUGAGGCUGAGGCCGAGCCUUUGGAAUUUGUAAAAACUCAUUUAUUAUUCUCUCUCCAAACUCACUGAUUCGCUUCAUAAUGACAGAAUUUACUGAUUAUUAGAAAAGAAAGAAAACCAGCAUGUGCAACAUGAAGAUGGAAAAUCCCUCCUAUCAGCAGACAUCCCCUUGUUCUCCAGCGCUUUCUUUAUCUAUCUUCACAAACAUUUCUUUGGUCUGAAACCUCUGAAUGUGCUCUUGUGGGAUUUUAUCUCCUUAGAGGAGCCUCCAAAACCUGCGGGUCACCGGCGGUCUGAUGUUUAGAUUCAGGUUAUCACAACUUGGAGCUAAGCUCUGCCUAACACAAAUGACAGAACAAAGACUGAUACCAGCUGGAUCCAGAGAGGCAGACGUGCUCUAAGACAGGAAUAAAUGGUGGUUUAGGGCACAAUUAUCCAGGAUUACUUAAUCACGUCUAAUCACAAUCAUAAACACACUGCUAUAAAGGGGGCCCAUAUUAGACAAAAGGCCAGUUAGCAGUGACAAUCACCCUGUGGGAUGCUAGUUUCCACAUCAACAAGAGAAACCUGAGAGUUUCCUGAAUUAGUCUUAAUUUCAACAGAAAGAAUAAAAGAACAGAUGCUGUUAGGACAGAAACAUCAUUUAAAACUAAUGACAAACACAAAGAUAUCAACUCCAAACUGGCAAAUCAUCUGGACUCGCAACCAAAAGCUCCAUCCAAUAACUGUUUCUUCUUUUAUAACCAUCAGCCGCGGAUAGUUUGCCCAAAUGUCACUGAAUUAAAGUUUUUAAAAUGAUUCAAAUAUAAGGCUGUGUUCUUGGUAAUAACUAAAAAAAAAAAAACAGUACGUUUUGUAAACUUGUAUUUCUUCAGUAAAACACUGACCUGUUACAUGCCAACCUUAAUCUCUUUUCUUCACAACUGUAUCCCUCUGCAGUUGUCUUAUCCAAAAAGGCCAAAAGAUAACGUUAUAAAAGUAACCCACUGGUGAAACAACAGCAGUGCAUAUUGUUGCUCGGGAUUCCUGUUGUGUUGUACUGAUACUUUCUUUUCAGUAGGUGAUGAAAAAUUCUUGUUACAACGUUCUGAGAACUACGAAUGCUCUUACUCCCUGCAGUGCAAACAAAAUAAAAAGCAGUGGAGUCCUUGAAGAGUUCAUAGACCAAUAAAAAAGUUCCUGGGAUCUGAUCCUAUCUUUAAGUUUAAGAGAGUUAGACAUCCAUACUGAGACACAGAGAGGGAGCAGGAACAGGUAAACUUGGCUGCUGCACUGUCGUUACUGGAGAGGCUUUUAGAUACAAUUGGACCUUUAAAGGGAUAUUCCGGCAUAAAAUUAAGUUAGGGUCAAACACACCAUAACACCAAGUUAAGACACCCCCUCAAGAGGUGAAUGUUGUCUACCGCUUGCUUCUCUAGUUAAACCAAAUGUAGUAAAGACCGCACGAUAGCAAAACACAGCGGUCUGAGGAGCCGUAAACAAACCUCAACCAAAACGCCACUCUAUAGCCACAAAUAAUUCUCAGAACAGCACCUAACUUCAUCAACAGUACAUAUAGGGUCCCAGCCAAAGUACUAGUCACCAAACAUCUUUUUAACUUUGCUUGAUUUCUUUAGCAAUGAGACUAAACACAACUCACCUACUCUCUUCCAGCAGCCGUUUGUUUGUGGCGAGACCUCAGGCCAGUCCAUUACAGACUGCUGCGGGGUGACGCAGACCGAGACGCUAAGGCAGAAGAACUACAGCGUCUGCAGUGUGAAAUGAUUAAUAUGGUGAUUAUUACUUCGAGGAAAUGAUAAAGUAAUGAUCAUAAAUGUUCUUCCUUGAGCUGCGUCACCCCGCUGGUUGAGGUUUGUUUAUGGCUCCUCAGACCGCUGUGUAUUGCUAUCCUGCAGUCGUUACUCAAGUUGGUUUAACUAGAAAAGCAAGCGGUCAGCAACAUUCAUCUCUCGAGGGGGAGUCUAACUCGGUGUUACGGUGUGUUUGACCCUAAACUAAUUUUACGCUGGAAUAUCCCUUUAAGCUGUAAACUUAUGUUUCAAGUUUGUCUGAACUUUUGUAUCUGAAAUAUCUUUGUGUCAGUUUUGGUGAGCAAAAAUCUCAGAUUCAAACACAGAAACCCUUUGGCUGACACAUUCUUUCACAAGGACAAGCUUCCGAAAAUAUGCUGCAAAUGUUUUUGCAGAUUGCACUUUAAAUCAUCACAGAUGCUUGAAAUAACAUAGGAAGUAGUUACGAAAACUUUCCACCAAUGACUGUUUCCGUUAAAACACAAACAUAGUGUACGUCUCUUCCUCCUGAGUGAAG